rnacentral:lncRNA from 1 species
UCACGCCCCUCAGCGGGUACCCCAGUCAUUGGCCGGUCGCAAGCCGCCUCCCAGCCGCCAGGUCCGCUUGCUGGACGCCGGCCAAGGGAGGCGGCGCGCCACGAGGGCUCGGGACUGAGCUGGCGAUGUUGUUUCCACUUUUGCUGCACAGCCGUUGACUUGAGUAGAUUACAGCUCCGGUGGGCAAAGAAGGGACCCUCGCCUAUGUCCGGAACCCAAUGGAAGGUGAUGAGGGAUCCAAAGAUUGAGCUGAAAGAUGGGAAGACUGAGACUCCCCGCCUCUCCAGCUGGAAGGUCUGGGCAGAGACCGAAGUUCCCCUGGAGGCCUCCGGAUCCAGCUAGUCUCCCGGCGCUGAGUUUCGUCUCUACUAAUUUUGACAAGCAUUCGUAUUGCAACUACGACAGCCCUGUUUGUCUUUUAGGGAAAAUAAGGUCAGUCGCUUAAUUCUCUUAUAUCCAAGAAUGACAGC